AUAUUGUCAGAGAGCUUGGUGGCUGGUACAGAGAGCACGACAGAGCUUUUGAGCUCAGCCCAGUAUCCACAAGAAUAUUCACUCUCGUUUCACUCUGUGAACUCCUUGAUACUUAUCCAUUGGUUGACUAUAAGAUUGGAUCAGUCCACAUUGUGACUUUAAAAAGGCAUAUAGAAAUAAAAGGUGUUCAGAUAAGUGUAAUAGGUUCAGUCGCAUGUAUUUCAUUAGAUAAAUUCUUCUUUUUUUAUGUCUGAAAUUUAUAACUUUGACUAUUGGGUAUGGAUAGCUGUAUGAAAACUAAACUGAAAUGAUUCUUUCUGAAUCUCUGAUAUGUAAUUCUUUUUUGCCUACAGAGUCCUAAAGACUGUCUUGGCUGACGGAACCUGUCGAAAGCUCACUCUCUAAUGGAGCGCCUAAAUCAACUGAGGAUCUCAUCGUUGAAGUCAAGAGACAGGGUGGUCUUCAGGGCAGUUUCAGACUUCAGUUUAUGGAUUCCUUCAUUUCAUUUUCGUUUCUUAACCUUACCUCGGUUUCAGAAGUAGCAGACAAAGGGACUCUUAAAGCUAUUGACAUGUCAAAGCCCACCACAUGGACAUAAAAAAAGAGUAACAGAGUUGGUGAAACUCAAGAUGGAAAAGACUUUUUCAUACAGAAGACAUGAAGUUGUUCGUGAUGCACCAAUGGUGGAGGCUUUCAUGGCAAGAUGGCCUGCUCUAUUUGAUUUCCAUGAGAUCAACGCUGAGUUUAAGAGAAUUGCCACCAUCCCCCCCUCAAACACAGUUCCCGGCUCAGCUGGAUCUCCACUUGGACAACCUGGUGAAGUUGGUCAAUAGAAGAGGAGAGCUCGGACUAAUACUGAAAAGAAUUGUGGCACAAAUGGAUAAUGUAAGCGAUAAAGCCUCAACACUCACUUAACAUGAUCCUCUUUGGAUGAAACUUUGUUUUGUAUUUUUACAUCUGCUUGUUUUUUAACCUUCAAUUUGUCAACUUAUUAAUUGCCAGU
ensembl:lncRNA